CACGUAAGAAUUUGCCUCUAGGAGGGGACGAACGAGCUGGAAACGGACGUGCUAAUACCCCACUAUGCUUUCGAGUGAAAUGGAUUUAUCCGCCUACGAGAGAAGCUUGCGGCUGAUUAGCUUGUUGGUGGGGUAAGUGGCCUACCAAGGCGACGAUCAGUAUCUGGUUUGAGAGGAUGAUCAGACACACUGGGACUGAGACACGGCCCAGACUCCUACGGGAGGCAGCAGUGGGGAAGUAUUGCACAAUGGGCGAAAGCCUGAUGCAGCCAUGCCGCGUGUGUGAAGAAGGCCUCGGUU
rnacentral:rRNA from 1 species